GCUAACUCUGUGCCAGCAGCCGCGGUAAUACAGAGGUCUCAAGCGUUGUUCGGAAUCACUGGGCGUAAAGGGUGCGUAGGUGGCGUGGCAAGUCAGAUGUGAAAGCCCGGAGCUCAACUUCGGAACUGCAUCCGAUACUGCCAUGCUAGAGCACUGAAGAGGUGACCGGAAUUCUCGGUGUAGCAGUGAAAUGCGUAGAUAUCGAGAGGAACACCAAAGGCGAAGGCAGGUCACUGGGCAGUUGCUGACACUGAGGCACGAAGGCCAGGGUAGCGAACGGGAUUAGAUACCCUAGUAGUC
rnacentral:rRNA from 1 species